GCUUCUGCAACAGUGGCUAAUGAGGAUGGUGAGACCAACAGCAGGCCACUGGCGAGAUUUGCACGCUCAAAGUCUCAGAGUGCACUCUGGAACACGCUCACUGCUGGGACGGGCAAGAAGGAGAAGGUCAAAUUUCAGAGGGACAUUCCAGACGAUCCACGCAGAAUAGAAGAGAUCCUGGCGGAUGAGCUUCCCUCUACAGACGUACC